AGGUAAAACACUGGUAGAAUGCCGACAAUCCCAAAAAAAGGAAGAAAAAAGAAAGAGUACUUCAUCGUAAGGAACAUCCCGGGACAGCCGUUAUAGGAGAGGACGAUUUGCAUGAACUGUCUUAGCGGUGGAAAAGCGAGAAAACACUUUGCCACCCUGAAACGCCACAAGCGGCCAUUGUUCUGGUCCGUCGAGCGCACCAUCGGGGCCCCCGGCUCCCAGCCACGACGCGGCCGGAUGCGCCACGGACGGCGGUCCACGGGCGAUACUCCCAGCCGCCGUCACGAUUCAUUUACGUCUGCAGUAAGACACCCCGUUGCCGCUCUGCCUUAUCAAAAAUUACAUAGCCUACUGGGGGUUUCACCAAGAAUGUGACUGGCAGGAAAUGAUAACAGGAAUCCAGAAGGCUCGCGCUCAGUGCACCUCACCUCCUCGCAUCACCCAAGGCCUCAGAAGCGUGUCCCGAUCGCUUAUGGGAUGCAGGGGGGAAAUUUAAGCCUGUGGGAGGUGCCUGCCGAUUUACAUAAAUUUCCAAAACACCUCAGAGAAGUACAAGAUGGACUUUCAUUCUUUAUUUUCCACUGUCUUUGUCUUUUUCAGAAAACGCCUCAUUUCUGCUUCGUGACUGUUCAAGUGAAAGUGACUUAAGUGCCGAAAAACCAAAAAUCAGAUAUUAAAUGCGUCACCAAUUAACAAACAACUAAUCAUCUUUUGCCUUUUAUUUAAAAUAAAAAAAUUAUCAAAGAA